rnacentral:rRNA from 1 species
UACGGAGGGGGUUAGCGUUGUUCGGAAUUACUGGGCGUAAAGCGCGCGUAGGCGGAUCAGAAAGUUGGGGGUGAAAUCCCGGGGCUCAACCCCGGAACUGCCUCCAAAACUCCUGGUCUUGAGUUCGAGAGAGGUGAGUGGAAUUCCGAGUGUAGAGGUGAAAUUCGUAGAUAUUCGGAGGAACACCAGUGGCGAAGGCGGCUCACUGGCUCGAUACUGACGCUGAGGUGCGAAAGUGUGGGGAGCAAACAGG